rnacentral:rRNA from 1 species
UACAGAGGGUGCGAGCGUUAAUCGGAAUUACUGGGCGUAAAGCGUGCGUAGACGGUUAUUUACGUCAGGUGUGAAAGCCCCGGGCUCAACCUGGGAAUUGCAUUUGAGACUGAAUAGCUAGGGUGCGGAAGAGGGAAGCGGAAUUUCCGGUGUAGCGGUGAAAUGCGUAGAUAUCGGAAGGAACAUCAGUGGCGAAAGCGGCUUCCUGGACCAGCACCGACGUUCAGGCACGAAAGCGUGGGGAGCAAACAGG